rnacentral:lncRNA from 1 species
AUAUAUGUUUUGGCAUAAGGAUUAUUUGAGGCUGGUUAUUUUUAAGAAACAGCAGACAUUUGAGAAGCUCUGGAAACCAAGUAGAAGUUACCCUUUGUAAAAAAUAUUUACAUUUGUAAAGGAAAUCACUUUUGUAAGGCUGACUCUCUCACUGUACCAGGAAGACGGGGCUUACCUUAUCUCUAGAAAGUCUUAUCAAUGGAGGAGGUGAUGACUUAAAUAAUAACUUCAUCCUUGUUUACUGUGCUUUUCCUGGGAACCUCACGUAAUUGACUCCCUCCACCUGCAACAACUUCUUUGGUCUGUAGCUGAAGAUGGUAUUUAAGGUGGUGGCAUCGGCUAUUUUGAAGCGCUUUAAGUUCUUAGUCUCUGGUGGAUUGUGGAUCGCCUAUCAGUAGCAGAACUUCCUGGGGUGGUUGGAAAUAUGCAGAUUUCUGUUCUGUCAGCCCCAAGCUGUGAAUUAAAUUGUGGGAUCUGGCUGAGAAAUCUUCAUUUCUAAAGCAUCCAUUUUGUGUGGUUACGUAGCCUCCAGGGGCCUUGAACUGCGUAGCCCCUCCCUAGAGCGCAUGCCUUAAAGAACAGCCUGCAGAGUCACAGGUGAGUCUAAUUUCCUGAUAAGCCCCUGGUAAUAAAUAGUCUCCCCUGAUUCCCAGCUCCUUCUCCUGGCUUGUGCCUUAGAUCCUGCUGCUCAUACUCUGCCUGCACCCUGCCUUGACCUCCCUGUGUGGCUCCUCGAGAUACCUCCUCCAGGACCUUGUGAUUUUGGUCCUCUUGGUUUCUCUGAUGCUGCUGGGGCUCCCAUUUGCCUGAAGGGGCAUUCCUGUGAGUCAGCAUCCUCUCUAAUCAACAUGUUGCAGAAAAGUGUUUACACACAACAUCCAGAGAAGAGGUGGGAUGCCUACCACAGCAUGGCAUGCCUAGCGGUGCCAUGUCCGCAGCCGGGAUCUGAACUGGCGAACCCUGGGUCUCUGAGAAGUGGAACAUGCGAACUUAACCACUGCACCACCGGGACUAUAAUUGUCUGGAGCAGAAGAGAAAAGAUUGAUGUCUGGAUGAGAACAAGAGAACUGAGAAGAUUAAAUUAUUUCAGUAUGAAUCAAAUCACUCAUCUCUUUUCUGCUUAUUGGCUAGAUCACAAAGACGGUUUUACCGACUCUGACUUUUUAUGUCACUGGCCAUGUGGAAUCCUUACAUGCUGCUAGGUCCCCUGUUCUCAUAUUUCAUAGAAGUUCAAAGUAAGAUGAUAUAUCGCAAUUUGCAUUUAUCCUAGAGUUUGUAUAGGUGUUGCAUUUUAGUCUACUAUUCGGGAACAUAUGUAACACAUGGUACAAGGUUAAAAUGAGGAAAAUAAAAUGAAAAAAUG